rnacentral:lncRNA from 1 species
AAAGAAAUCAGCCUGUUCCACCUCUGGCUGGAAGGAGGAAGAAUGAGGAGAAAUAAAGAAGGAAGAUGAACAACAAAUCAGGAACAAAUAUAUGGUUUAUCUUUUCUCCAGUUUCUUAUUCAGUCCUGGCAGUGCAGAAGUAACUCAUUCCCAACAUUAAUAAAUGCUGCUGGUGCUUUAAAGUCAGGACCAUGAUUCCCUAGGGCAUUUCCCAGGAGUAAAAGUAAAGAGUGGAGGGACUGUGAGGAGGCCUGUCUCUAGGGAAGUGCUUUGCAAAGGUAGGACUGUCUGCAGUCCUGUGCCUUUGCUCUGCAAUUGGUAGAAGACAGAUGUAUGCUUUUCUCUGUAUGCCCUUCAUAGGAGUUGAUAAAACUGAGGUACUGAAAUACAGGACUGGCUCAUAUGUCUACAGGUUGAAAACCUUGUAGCUUUGCUGAUAGGUGAGAGUAUAAAAGCACACUUCUGCAAGGCUUUAUCUGGAGCAUUGACAAAGAUGAUGCAGAAGAAAGCAAAUAUUGUCAUCCCUGCAGGCUGUUGCAGCUGAAAUAACUUCAUUUCAUUAGAACUGUUUCAAAAUGGACACUUACAUUGUAACUCUGACUCCUUGUGUGCUUCACAGUUUGGUUUGUGGACCAUCCAAAGUCUAUUUACCUUAUGAACAUAUUCCAUAGGAAGUGGCUGUAUCUGCACCCCCUGAAGAGAGGAAAAAUUUCUUUCCAGAACUGAAUUUCAUGAGUGUCCAUGACCUAAAUAAGCAGCUGAACCAAAUCCAUUGAUCUGAACUGUCUGGAUUUUGGAAAUUCUGACUCUUGUAUGUGUGAGGUUUCUGUAACUUUUAUUUCUUAUACAUAGAGGAACCUUUCCACCAAGACUUCUAAAAGUAAUAUGGCUUACAGGACAGAUGCAGCCAUGAGCCGGAGAGGGAUGUAGAGGAGCUGCUGUGCAGGAG